CUCUUACUGGGACACUUGGCUUAUCCUGGGAAACAGAUGUGUUUAAAGGCAAUGUAAAGGACUGCUACAUGAUGAAUCUUACUCUCUUGGAUGAAAUUGGAGAGCCCUUCUGGUGUUUCAGUGCCCCAGUCCACGUGGAACUGUCCUCCAGGACAUCUGGCCUUUAUGAUUACAUGGGUCAUAUCUAUACCACAAACUAUGCAGAUUCAGAGGGUAAAGUUUGCAUUAAGUUGAUAUGGCUGGAAGAAACCAAGGAGUAUAUUAUAGUCAAUUUAGUGCUUUAUGUAAGCACCAAAAAAGUAAAUAACUGGUAUGGAACAAAUUACUGACUUGACUGGCCCACUAAUUUCCUUGCUUUAAAAACCAAAAUAAACCAAAAAACACACUAAACCUUUGAUACCAAUGAGAAAGACUGUUCCUGCAAGGUUUUCAGUAAAAAGUGCAAUUGCAUAAUUUGUUUAAUUGGUAUUGGAGACAUCGAAGAGACAUAUUAAUAUAAAUGAUAGUUUUUCUUUUCUGUUGAACAUCACAUGGUUAAUCUGUUUCUGAUACUAGGUAUGUUGAAAUUACUUUUAUGAAUAUUUAUAAACACUUGUUGCUAUGGUUAGAGAAUUUUUUUGAGAGCCAUCCUUUGAAGAUGCCUUAUGUGAUGUAAGCUGCAGUUUUUGAGAACAUUGACUUUUAUGCACAGUAAUAAAACAGCAUGUGUGCUGUUGCCUUCAGGUUCGUUGGAGUGUUAUUGCUAAAUGACAGGUUUUGUUAAAUGCAGAAAUAUUUCCUUCUUUUUUUUUUUUUUCCCCCAGAAAAUAUUUAAAUGUAUUCUAGUAAAGGAUUGAAAAGGUAGACAGGAAGUCACAGAUCUGAACAAUAUGGCAGUCAAGACAUUUGUCAAGAAAAUCCCUUGUAAUAUCCAUUAUGACAUUUCUUUAAAUUCCUGUUUGCUCUGUUUCCUGUGUUCUAACCUUCUCUCUGACUUGAGCCUAAAUACUUGCCUCAUGUAUUGACCUAUGACUGGAUCCCAAUUAUCAGCUCACUUGAGCUGAUACCUGCUCUUACUGAAUGCAUGUAACAUUCAGUUCUUUGAAACAAUGCAUAUCUGAUACUGUUUGUCUAACAAAGCAUAU